UCAGGACUGCAGCUCUGCUGGUUUUCGUCUUUUAAAAAUCAGUGAGCUGUAUCCCGUGAA
ensembl:miRNA